rnacentral:rRNA from 1 species
AUGGCUAGCCAGGAGGAGCAGCCCGACUGGUUGGACCUCCCCUCCGAUCUAGUGACGAUCAUCGCGCGGAGGUCCCGCGACGCCGUCACCGGGCUCGCCGCGUUCCGCUCCGUGUGCCGGGCAUGGCGCGCCGCGGCAGGGCCAGCGCCGCGCCUCCUGCUCCCCCGUGUCCGCGCCUCCCACACGGCUGUCUUCCCCUUGUCCCGCGGCUGGUCCCUCGUCGUCGACACCCACGACGCCUCCUGCCACGUCUCGCACCUGGCCACCCGCGCCACGGCGGCCCUGCCCAAGCUCAACGCCGUCCGCGACGGCCCAGGCAGCGACGUCGUCCGGCACGUAAGGUACGUGCACCGCAACGACCUGGACACGGCGCUGUGCAGCAACUGGAUCUUCCCGACCUACCUCGAUUUCACGGACUACUUGCGCUUCGCCCUCCACCUCCCGCCCGGCGCCCCGGCGGCGGUGGCGACGGGCAUGACGGUCAUGAUGUACCACAAGAUGCACGGGCACACGGGCAUGCUCUUCUGCCGCCCCGGCGACGCGGCAUGGACCAAGGUGGAGAAGCCCCGCCGCAUAGGCUACGGCUACUUCGACUUCGCCUACCAUGACGGGAAGGUGUUCGGCAUGGACAUCAACGGCGAGAUGGCGGUAUUCGACGCCGCCACGCUCGGCGCCCUACAGCUGGUCCCGCGUCCGCCGGACAUGCCCAACCUCAGCAGCAAGAUGUACGACUCCAUCUGCUCUCGGAAGCAAGAGUUGGAUUACGUCCACCUCGUCGCGUUGCCGAGCAAGCUGGUCCUGGUCGUGGCAAGGACCACCGUCAAGUCGUCCCGGCCGGUGGCCUUGGAUCUCUUCGAGCUGGGCUCUUCUCCGGCGCCUGACGGGCAGCUCGCCUGGCGCAAGGUGGCCGAGGCUGGUAACUACGAAUUGUUCGUCGAUAGGUACCACGCAACCUUCAGGGAAAAUGACGGCGCCAACGGGGGCGGAACUCGGAUCUACUACGUCCAUGACAUGAAGAAGGUUUCUACCGUCGCGGCAUACUGCUACAGCAUGCAGGAAAACAAGUUGGAAUGCGUCUACAGGUCACCGGAGGAUGAUGGUCCUCCCGACUGCUUAACUAGGCCUAGUUGGUUUGUUCCUUAG